GAUGAACGCUGGCGGCGUGCCUAAUACAUGCAAGUAGAACGCUGAAGCUUGGUGCUUGCACCGAGCGGAUGAGUUGCGAACGGGUGAGUAACGCGUAGGUAACCUGCCUCUUAGCGGGGGAUAACUAUUGGAAACGAUAGCUAAUACCGCAUAAAAGUCGAUAUCGCAUGAUAUUGAUUUGAAAGGUGCAAAUGCAUCACUAAGAGAUGGACCUGCGUUGUAUUAGCUAGUUGGUGAGGUAACGGCUCACCAAGGCGACGAUACAUAGCCGACCUGAGAGGGUGAGCGGCCACACUGGGACUGAGACACGGCCCAGACUCCUACGGGAGGCAGCAGUAGGGAAUCUUCGGCAAUGGGGGCAACCCUGACCGAGCAACGCCGCGUGAGUGAAGAAGGUUUUCGGAUCGUAAAGCUCUGUUGUAAGAGAAGAACGAGUGUGAGAGUGGAAAGUUCACACUGUGACGGUAACUUACCAGAAAGGGACGGCUAACUACGUG
rnacentral:rRNA from 1 species